rnacentral:rRNA from 1 species
GGAGGUUGGCUUAGAAGCAGCCAUCCUUGAAAGAGUGCGUAAUAGCUCACUGGUCAAGUGAUCGUGCGCCGACAAUGUAGCGGGGCUCAAGCACACCGCCGAAGCCGCGGACCCAUGACAUGGUUCCCUUCACCGUCCGUCUUUGUGCGUGUGGUGGCAGGGGUCGUGGGUGGUAGGGGAGCGUCCUGCACCGGGGGAAGCCUGUGGGUGACUGCUGGUGGACGGUGCGGGAGUGAGAAUGCAGGCAUGAGUAGCGAUACUAGGGUGAGAAGCCCUAGCGCCGAAUGACCAAGGGUUCCAGGGCCAGGCUAGUCCGCCCUGGGUGAGUCGGGACCUAAGGCGAGGCCGACAGGCGUAGUCGAUGGAUGACGGGUUGAUAUUCCCGUACCGGCGAAGCACCGCCCAUGCUGACGCGCGGGUGCUAACCCACGCCCGGCCGCCAUGUAGGCCGCAUGUGUCAGGUUCGCCUGACGGUGUGGUUGUGGUGGUGGGGUCUGGGGAUCCUCCGUGCAGGUAGGCAAGCGUGUUAACAGGGGUGACGCACAGUGGUAGCCCGGCGGACCUGAUGGCUUGGUCCGUUCAAGCGCGCAGCCCGUCCUCCAGGUAAAUCCGGGGGGCUGUCUUUGAUGACGGGGGUGAGGCGUGAUGGUGACCCCACUCUGGUGGGGGAUAGCAGGGUGAUCCUGGGGUGCCGAGAAAAGCCUCGACGCGAUGGUGCCAGCCGCCCGUACCCUAAACCGACACAGGUGGUCGGGCAGAGUAUGCCUAGGCGCACGAGUGAAUCAUGGUUAAGGAACUCGGCAAAAUGCCCCCGUAACUUCGGGAGAAGGGGGGCCUGAGCUUUGAAGCCCCUUCGCGGGCUAGGAGCAAGGGUCGCAGAGAACAGGGGGGAGCGACUGUUUACUAAAAACACAGGUCCGUGCGAAGCCGUAAGGCGAUGUAUACGGACUGACGCCUGCCCGGUGCUGGAAGGUUAAGAGGAACCAUCAACCCUCGGGUGAAGUGGUGAAUUUAAGCCCCAGUAAACGGCGGUGGUAACUAUAACCAUCCUAAGGUAGCGAAAUUCCUUGUCGGGUAAGUUCCGACCUGCACGAAUGGCGUAACGACUUCCCUACUGUCUCAACCAUGAGCUCGGCGAAAUUGCACUACGAGUAAAGAUGCUCGUUUCGCGCAGAAGGACGGAAAGACCCCGGGACCUUUACUACAGCUUGGUAUUGGCGCCCGCUAUAGCUUGUGCAGGAUAGGUGGGAGACGUUGAAGCCGCUACGCCAGUAGUGGUGGAGUCGUCCUUGAAAUACCACUCUGGUUAUGGCGUGCGCCUGAACCUGGGCCCGUGAUCCGGGUUAGGGACAGUGCCUGGUGGGUAGUUUAACUGGGGCGGUUGCCUCCUAAAGUGUAACGGAGGCGCUCAAAGGUUCCCUCAGCCUGGUCGGCAACCAGGUGUUGAGUGCAAGUGCACAAGGGAGCUUGACUGUGAGACCGACGGGUCGAGCAGGUACGAAAGUAGGAACUAGUGAUCCGGCGAUCCCGUGUGGGUGGGUCGUCGCUCAACGGAUAAAAGGUACCCCGGGGAUAACAGGCUGAUCCUGCCCAAGAGUCCAUAUCGACGGCAUGGUUUGGCACCUCGAUGUCGGCUCGUCGCAUCCUGGGGCUGGAGCAGGUCCCAAGGGUUGGGCUGUUCGCCCAUUAAAGCGGUACGCGAGCUGGGUUUAGAACGUCGUGAGACAGUUCGGUCCCUAUCCUCUGCGCGCGCAGGAGACUUGAGAAGGCCUGUCCCUAGUACGAGAGGACCGGGACGGACGAACCUCUGGUGUGCCAGUUGUCCCGCCCGGGGCACGGCUGGUUGGCUACGUUCGGACAGGGUAACCGCUGAAAGCAUCUAAGCGGGAAACCACCUUCAAGACCAGGUCUCCGCAGCAGCACCCCGUGCUGCUGGAAGGCCCCCAGCAGACCACUGGGUCGAUAGGCCAGACGUGGAAGACCGGCAACGGCCGAAGCCGACUGGUACUAACAGGCCAACACAAACACAC